AACUUGUUUCGUAUGACAAGCAAUGCUUGCCACACUCAUCAGGUGAAUUUAAAAAUCGAUUAUUACUAUUUAAUUUAGAUUUUUAAAUUCACCUGAUGAGUGUGGCAAGCAUUGCUUGUCAUACGAAACAAGUUUG